rnacentral:lncRNA from 1 species
UUCCAGUUCCUGUGUUUUUUGCUGCGUGCGUUCGUUUUAAUCUGGUAAAUUAGGGUUCGUGGCGUGUAUAGAGUAUAGAAGUGGAAGGGAUCGCGAUCGAUCGGCGAGGCUGUGAGGAGCAGGAGGAGAGGAGCUUUGUAGCUUGUACAAAGAUCGAGGCGAUGUGUGUCACUGCGUUGACAUGGUUUGAUCCGUGCCCGUAUAUGGAGAAACUUCAUCCCUUGUUCACUGAGAACCUCUUUGUUUUCUCAUAACGGUACUACUACUAGUACUCCCUCCGUCCGAAAAUAUUGUUAUCAAAAUGGAUAAAAAAAAUGUAUUUAGAACUAAAAUACAUCUAGAUACAUCCCCUUUUAUUUAUUUUGAUGACAAGUAUUUCCGAUCGAAGGGAGUAGUACUUUAGCGGUAGUACUUAUAUUACAGUGGGUUCAUCUCUGACAGAUUGACCGGUUGCCGUCGCAAGUUAAAUGUCAGCAGUCCAGGUCCGGGUAUCACGUCUUUGACCAACAGCAAGUAGAGUAUCUGAUAUCUUGAACACUGUGUAUUGAAUUCGAAAAUUUGUGGAGCUCUCAUUAUAACAUUUCCCCUUCUGAACAUUUGCUUGAAUUGGACACUUUCUCUUGUGCUCCCAAGUUGUGAUUCGAAUUCAUAUAAAGUAUAAAGGCUAAUUUUUUAAC